GCCGUCGGUGCCGCUCAGGCGCUCAGUAGCCAGUCUCCGGUGGCAGCACCGCAGCAACCAGCAAGUGUGCAAAUCGAUUUAAGAAUUGUUAAAGAAUGAAGAGGGCCGGAGACAUUGUUUCUCUGAAGAUAGGAAAGAAGAAGAAGGCAGGGAGAUGUGGCCGAAGAGCAAGCCGGAGAUGAGAAGUUUUCCUUGGAGUCAUUGAUCAAAUUAGUCAAGAGCUUGAAAAUCGGUUUGUUGAGAUUAAUAUGGAGUUGCUUUCUUGUAUGUCUGCUUUGAAUUUGGUGUACUUGCUUCUAAAAUUGGUAUUGAUUCUACCGGUGGCAACAACAAAUGUUGAGAGAGCAUUUUCUGCUGUGAGUAUAGUUAAGAACAAGUUGAGAAAUAAGAUGGGUGAUAGUCUUU